UAUUGGUCAAUGGACGCGAGUCUGAACCAGCCAAGUAGCGUGCAGGAUGACUGCCCUAUGGGUUGUAAACUUCUUUUAUAUGGGAAUAAAGUUUUCCACGUGUGGAAUUUUGUAUGUACCAUAUGAAUAAGGAUCGGCUAACUCCGUGCCAGCAGCCGCGGUAAUACGGAGGAUCCGAGCGUUAUCCGGAUUUAUUGGGUUUAAAGGGAGCGUAGGUGGACAGUUAAGUCAGUUGUGAAAGUUUGCGGCUCAACCGUAAAAUUGCAGUUGAUACUGGCUGUCUUGAGUACAGUAGAGGUGGGCGGAAUUCGUGGUGUAGCGGUGAAAUGCUUAGAUAUCACGAAGAACUCCGAUUGCGGAGGCAGCUCACUGGACUGCAACUGACGCUCAGUCCCGAAAGCGUGGGGAGCAAAUAG
rnacentral:rRNA from 1 species